ACGAUAAAUUGGCAAACCCGCCGAAAGGCGGGGACGCAAAGCCACGGGGCUAAAGAUAGGGGCUAUCCACGCUAGCCGGGCUGCCGAA
rnacentral:ncRNA from 1 species